UUAUAAUAAACUAGUCAAUAAGUCUCAUCUUGUGUCCUCCUCUUUUUCUUUAUAUCUAAUUUAAACAAAAAAAAUAACAGUAGAGGGAAGAGAAACUGUACUCAUGAUAUAUAAUGUGAGAAAAAAUCUAUUUUCAAUUAAAAAAGCAAUCCAGUGAUUUUUGCUUUAUUAGUUGGGUCACUAAAGCAUAUAACUAUAAUGGAAAAUCAUAUAUAGUAGCAAAACUUAUGUAAAUGUUCUAGACAGUCUACAUUCUGUAGCAUGCAUUUAUUUUAUUCUAAAUUUUAAGAUGAUUAUUUCAAGAUACAUAUAUAAAACACUUUCACUAAAAAUCAUGAAGGAAAGCUGUUACGAUAAAUCUUUCUGCCAAAGGCCACCCGAGCCCCACCGCCACGUGUGCGCUUUACGUCAGCCACCCGCCCAAGUUAGGCCCAAAUGAAUACACAGAAACUUGUAUUAGGUACAAUGCUGCUUGGCCAAUGACUAGGAUUCUCAUCUGCUAGCUCAGUCUUAAUUAUUAUAAAUCUAUAUAUUUUAUAAGACUUAUCUUAUCGGAUGCCUUAUUGGCGUCCCUCCUUGCAGGUGGCUCACAUCCUGCCGCUGGAGGAGGCGAACAGGAAAAAGGGGCCACUUCCUGUUUCCUCGCUUAGAUAUGAGUCUCCUUGCUUUGUCACUUCCUGCCUGGAUCAACACUUAUCUACUACAUUUCCCAGAAUCCUCUUUGACUCCUAGUCCUGUCUAACUUGCUGUCUCAUUGGCCAAACAGUAUUUUAUUUAACAAUCAAAAGAUAAACAUACACAGUACAUUCCCCAUCAGAAAGCUUACUGCUUGCUCGAGAUGCAUUUGUGAAUUAGAAAACAAUAUUACUUUGUAAGAAGAAUGAAACUUUACUAUUAGUAAAUGCCUACCACUGGAUGCUUAAGGAAAAACAAACAAACAAACAAACAAACAAACAAAACGAAGCUGCUUUGGAAAGAAAAGGAGUGAGAUGAGAUGGAAGGUAGAGGUUGAAAGUCACUUAAGAGGUGGUGUGGUUGAAAAUGCUAUGGCGUCAGGCAUUGGAAACAGGAAAAUUUUCUCAGUAUUUCCAGUGUUCCACACCUUAGACAAGAAGAAAGAGAGUCUUGGGAGUUUUGGAAGGAAAACACUCAUCCUAUCCUGGGUAGUUAAUACAUGCUAGUGCCUUACCCAUGAACACCCUUCCUAGGCAGGUAAGUUCUCCAGUUUUUGAGCAUAGCCUCCCCACUAGAGGAUUCAGG
rnacentral:lncRNA from 1 species